UUUCCCCGGAGUGUUGGACAUGUGUUGUUUCUUUUUGAAGUGGCAGGAUGCAGUGGUCCAAGUUUGCCAACAGGGUGAGUGGAAUCCCAACUCCAGAAUCAGACUCUGGCUACAGCAGCAGGCUCUUCUGGGACUGCUCCACUGAGUAGCAACCAAGCUGUGCUUCUACCUUGCUAAGGAGACUUGGAAAGCUUCUCAGCUGCCAUUCUCUGUUGCUCAGCCAGAAGUUGCUGAAGUUCCUCUGUAGACAAUUCCUCCAAGUGUUCCUUCACCAGUUCCUCAACAUCACCACUGUCUAUCUGCAAGCCUAUGGAUGCUACUAUAGUGAAAAUGUCAUCAACCACUGGAUCAAAUGAAGGCUCAGGCUCCUCUACACAGCCUUCAGUCACUCUCCUAUAUAGUUUUAGGCCACACUUUCUUCCAGGCAGAUCUAAGUGUCCUUAGAGGGACACUGGCCCAGGAUUUCUCAAUUCACCCCAAACAGGAUAUACCAGUAUUUCAGUUGUAACUCAGGACUUUGGUCAUAAAUUAAAACUAAAAUUCUGGUCAGAACCCAAGUUGUUUGGCUGGCUGUAACUUGAGGGUCCACUGUUAAGGGAUAGAAAGGGCUGUGGUUGGCCCUUGUGCCUUUGCUACUUUUUGCCUGCCAUUAACUGUUUCCCCUUUGUGAUACCACCCUGCCUUGGAGCCAGCUGAUUGUAGACUGAAACCUCUACAAACUGUGAGCUAAAUAAACCUUUCCUUCCUUAACUUUGGGUGUCAGGUAUUUUGUCUCAGCAAUGAGAGAAAAGUAACUAAGACAGGCAGUGACAUGAUUUGAUGCUGAUGAUAUGUGCUAUGCGUAGUGCUUUAUUUAGGAUUUAGCUUGAAGUUAAAGCCAACAGGACUGGCCGUGGGAGGCAGGAGGAAAGAAAGAAUUUAAGUGUAACAGUUUAGAUCUGAAAUGUGCCCCCAACGCCUCAUGUGUGCAGAGGUGUGGCUUUUGGAAGGUGAUGGAUUAUGGUGACCAUAUAGCUGAC
rnacentral:lncRNA from 1 species